rnacentral:tRNA from 1 species
UCCCUGCAGCGCAAUGGGUAGUGCGUUGGACUUCUAAUCCAAAGGUUGUGAGUUGGAGUCCCAACUGGGAGAA